rnacentral:rRNA from 1 species
UCCGGGGAGGAGGACCAACCGGGAUUGCCUCAGUAACGGCGAGUGAAGCGGCAAGAGCUCAAAUUUGAAAUCUGGCCCCUUUGGGGUCCGAGUUGUAAUUUGCAGAGGAUGCUUCGGGUGCGGUCCCCGUCUAAGUGCCCUGGAACGGGCCGUCAUAGAGGGUGAGAAUCCCGUCUGGGAUGGGCGGCCGCGCCCGUGUGAAGCUCCUUCGACGAGUCGAGUUGUUUGGGAAUGCAGCUCUAAGCGGGUGGUAAAUUUCAUCUAAAGCUAAAUACUGGCCGGAGACCGAUAGCGCACAAGUAGAGUGAUCGAAAGAUGAAAAGCACUUUGAAAAGAGAGUUAAACAGCACGUGAAAUUGUUGAAAGGGAAGCGUUGUCCACCAGACUCGCCCGGGGGGGUUCAGCCGGCACGUGUGCCGGUGUACUCCUCUCCGGGCGGGCCAGCAUCGGUUUGGGCGGCUGGUGAAAGGCCCCGGGAAUGUGCCACCCUUCGGGGUGCCUUAUAGCCCGGGGUGCCAUACAGCCAGCCUGGACCGAGGCCCGCGCUUCGGCGAGGAUGCUGGCGUAAUGGUGGUCAACGGCCCGUCUUGAAACACGGACCAAGGAGUCUAACAUCUAUGCGAGUGUUCGGGUGU